rnacentral:rRNA from 1 species
ACAUGCAGAGAACUUCAGAGAUGAUUGUGCCUUCGGGACUCUGACACAGGUGCUGCAUGGCUGUCGUCAGCUCGUGUCGUGAGAUGUUGGGUUAAGUCCGUAACGAGCGCAACCCUUGUCCUUAGUUACCAGCACGUUAUGGUGGGCACUCUAAGGAGACUGCCGGUGACAAACCGGAGGAAGGUGGGGGAUGACGUCAAGUCAUCAUGGCCCUUACGGCCUGGACUACACACGUGCUACAAUGGUCGGUACAAAGGGUUGCCAAGCCGCGAGGUGGAGCUAAUCCCAUAAAACCGAUCGUAGUCCGGAUCGCAGUCUGCAACUCGACUGCGUGAAGUCGGAAUCGCUAGUAAUCGUGAAUCAGAAUGUCACGGUGAAUACGUUCCCGGGCCUU